rnacentral:rRNA from 1 species
AUUGAACGCUGGCGGCAUGCUUUACACAUGCAAGUCGAACGGUAACAGGCCUUCGGGUGCUGACGAGUGGCGAACGGGUGAGUAAUGCAUCGGAACGUGCCCAGAGGUGGGGGAUAACGCAGCGAAAGCUGUGCUAAUACCGCAUGUGAUCUGAGGAUGAAAGCGGGGGACCAGGCAGCAAUGUUUGGCCUCGCGCCUUUGGAGCGGCCGAUGUCAGAUUAGGUAGUUGGUGGGGUAAGGGCCUACCAAGCCGACGAUCUGUAGCUGGUCUGAGAGGACGACCAGCCACACUGGGACUGAGACACGGCCCAGACUCCUACGGGAGGCAGCAGUGGGGAAUUUUGGACAAAGGGCGCAAGCCUGAUCCAGCAAUGCCGCGUGCGGGAAGAAGGCCUUCGGGUUGUAAACCGCUUUUGUACGGAACGAAAAGGCUCUGGCUAAUACCUGGGGCUGAUGACGGUACCGUAAGAAUAAGCACCGGCUAACUACGUG